rnacentral:rRNA from 1 species
ACUCUAUAAUGCAGUCGAGCGCAGGAGCCGUCUGAACCCUUCGGGGGGACGACGGUGGAAUGAGCGGCGGACGGGUGAGUAACACGUAAAGAACCUGCCCAUAGGUCUGGGAUAACCACGAGAAAUCGGGGCUAAUACCGGAUGUGUCAUCGGACCGCAUGGUCCGCUGAUGAAAGGCGCUUCGGCGUCGCCCAUGGAUGGCUUUGCGGUGCAUUAGCUAGUUGGUGGGGUAACGGCCCACCAAGGCGACGAUGCAUAGCCGACCUGAGAGGGUGAUCGGCCACACUGGGACUGAGACACGGCCCAGACUCCUACGGGAGGCAGCAGUAGGGAAUCUUCCACAAUGGACGAAAGUCUGAUGGAGCAACGCCGCGUGAACGAUGAAGGCUUUCGGGUCGUAAAGUUCUGUUGUAAGGGAAGAACAAGUGCCGCAGGCAAUGGCGGCACCUUGACGGUACCUUGCGAGAAAGCCACGGCUAACUACGUGCCAGCAGCCGCGGUAAUACGUAGGUGGCAAGCGUUGUCCGGAAUUAUUGGGCGUAAAGCGCGCGCAGGCGGCCUCUUAAGUCUGAUGUGAAAGCCCCCGGCUCAACCGGGGAGGGCCAUUGGAAACUGGGAGGCUUGAGUAUAGGAGAGAAGAGUGGAAUUCCACGUGUAGCGGUGAAAUGCGUAGAGAUGUGGAGGAACACCAGUGGCGAAAGCGACUCUUUGGCCUAUAACUGACGCUGAGGCGCGAAAGCGUGGGGAGCAAACAGAUUAGAUACCCUGGUAGUCCACGCCGUAACGAUGAGUGCUAGGUGUUGGAGGGUUUCCGCCCUUCAGUGCUGAGCUACGCAUAGCACUCGCCUGGGGAGUACGUCGCAGCUGAACUCAAGGAAUGACGGGACCCCGCACAAGCGUG